CGUAACUCCCACUAGGAAGGUCGGAGAGACAUGAAACAUAAACCACUAUGUAGGUCUGACUUAGACCUAGAUUUCAUAAUUUCACAUCCUCGGGCAAAAAUCAACAGGAAGUUGGCAAUUCCCCCUUCAAGACAAAAAUUUACUAAAAACAGUCACUUUUGCCUCUUUGAGCUGUAAUUUGACCCCCUUAACAUGCUUCAAAACUCACCAUAUUUGACACACACAUCAGGACCUGCGAAAAUUGCUAUCUAAUAAAAAAACCUAGCGCCAAAACUCAAAAUUGCGCUCUAGCGCCCCCUAGGAAAAGACACAGACAAAACUGCCUGUAACUCCCACUAGGAAGGUCAGAGAGACAUGAAACUAAAACCUCUAUGUAGGUCUGACUUAGACCUAGAUUUCAUAAUUUUACAUCCUCGGGCAAAAAUCAACAGGAAGUUGGCAAUUCCCCCUUCAAGACAAAAAUGUACUAAAAACAGUCACUUUUGCCUCUUUGAGCUGUAAUUUGACCCACUUAACAUGCUUCAAAACUCACCAUAUUUGACACACACAUCAGGACCUGCGAAAAUUGCUAUCUAAUAAAAAAAAAAACUAGCCCCAAAACUCAAAAUUGCGCUCUAGCGCCCCCUAGGAAAAGACACAGACAAAACUGCCUGUAACUCCCACUAGGAAGGUCGGAGAGACAUGAAACAAAAACCACUAUGUAGGUCUGACUUAGACCUAGAUUUCAUAAUUUUACAUCCUCGGGCAAAAAUCAACAGGAAGUUGGCAAUUCCCCCUUCAAGACAAAAAUUUACUAAAAACAGUCACUUUUGCCUCUUUGAGCUGUAAUUUGACCCACUUAACAUGCUUCAAAACUCACCAUAUUUGGCACACACAUCAGGACCUGCGAAAAUUGCUAUCUAAUAAAAAAAACCUAGCCCCAAAACUCAAAAUUGCGCUCUAGCGCCCCCUAGGAAAAGACACAGACAAAACUGCCUGUAACUCCCACUAGGAAGGUCGGAGAGACAUGAAACAAAAACCACUAUGUAGGUCUGACUUAGACCUAGAUUUCAUAAUUUUACAUCCUCGGGCAAAAAUCAACAGGAAGUUGGCAAUUCCCCCUUCAAGACAAAAAUGUACUAAAAACAGUCACUUUUGCCUCUUUGAGCUGUAAUUUGACCCCCUUAACAUGCUUCAAAACUCACCAUAUUUGACACACACAUCAGGACCUGCAAAAAUUGCUAUCUAAUAAAAAAACCUAGCCCCAAAACUCAAAAUUGCGCUAUAGCGCACCCUAGGAAAAGACACAGACAAAACUGCCUGUAACUCCCACUAGGAAGGUCAGAGAGACAUGAAACUAAAACCUCUAUGUAGGUCUGACUUAGACCUAGGUUUCAUAAUUUUACAUCCUCGGGCAAAAAUCAACAGGAAGUUUGCAAUUCCCCCUUCAAGACAAAUAUGUACUAAAAACAGUCACUUUUGCCUCUAUGAGCUGUAAUUUGACCCCCUUAACAUGCUUCAAAACUCACCAUAUUUGACACACACAUCAGGACCUGCGAAAAUUGCUAUAGAAUAAAAAAAAAUAGCCCCAAAACUUAAAAUUGCGCUGUAGCGCCCCCUAGGAAAAGACACAGACAAAACUGCCUGUAACUCCCACUAGGAAGGUCGGAGAGACAUGAAACUAAAACCUCUAUGUAGGUCUGACUUAGACCUAGAUUUCAUAAUUUUACAUCCUCGGGCAAAAAUCAACAGGAAGUUGGCAAUUCCCCCUUCAAGACAAAAAUGUACUAAAAACAGUCACUUUUGCCUCUUUGAGCUGUAAUUUGACCCCCUUAACAUGCUUCAAAACUCACCAUAUUUGACACACACAUCAGGACCUGCGAAAAUUGCUAUCUAAUAAAAAAAACCUAGCGCCAAAACUCAAAAUUGCGCUCUAGCGCCCCCUAGGAAAAGACACAGACAAAACUGCCUGUAACUCCCACUAGGAAGGUCAGAGAGACAUGAAACUAAAACCUCUAUGUAGGUCUGACUUAGACCUAGAUUUCAUAAUUUUACAUCCUCGGGCAAAAAUCAACAGGAAGUUGGCAAUUCCCCCUUCAAGACAAAAAUGUACUAAAAACAGUCACUUUUGCCUCUUUGAGCUGUAAUUUGACCCCCUUAACAUGCUUCAAAACUCACCAUAUUUGACACACACAUCAGGACCUGCGAAAAUUGCUAUCUAAUAAAAAAAACUAGCGCCAAAACUCAAAAUUGCGCUCUAGCGCCCCCUAGGAAAAGACACAGACAAAACUGCCUGUAACUCCCACUAGGAAGGUCAGAGAGACAUGAAACUAAAACCUCUAUGUAGGUCUGACUUAGACCUAGAUUUCAUAAUUUUACAUCCUCGGGCAAAAAUCAACAGGAAGUUGGCAAUUCCCCCUUCAAGACAAAAAUGUACUAAAAACAGUCACUUUUGCCUCUUUGAGCUGUAAUUUGACCCACUUAACAUGCUUCAAAACUCACCAUAUUUGACACACACAUCAGGACCUGCGAAAAUUGCUAUCUAAUAAAAAAAACUAGCCCCAAAACUCAACAUUGCGCUCUAGCGCCCCCUAGGAAAAGACACAGACAAAACUGCCUGUAACUCCCACUAGGAAGGUCAGAGAGACAUGAAACUAAAACCUCUAUGUAGGUCUGACUUAGACCUAGGUUUCAUAAUUUUACAUCCUCGGGCAAAAAUCAAUGGCAAUUCCCCCUUCAAGACAAAAAUUACUAAAAACAGUCACUUUUGCCUUUUUGAGCUGUAAUUUGACCCCCUUAACAUGCUUCAAAACUCACCAUAUUUGACACACACAUCAGGACCUGCAAAAAUUGCUAUCUAAUAAAAAAACCUAGCCCCAAAACUCAAAAUUGCGCUAUAGCGCACCCUAGGAAAAGACACAGACAAAACUGCCUGUAACUCCCACUAGGAAGGUCAGAGAGACAUGAAACUAAAACCUCUAUGUAGGUCUGACUUAGACCUAGAUUUCAUAAUUUUACAUCCUCGGGCAAAAAUCAACAGGAAGUUGGCAAUUCCCCCUUCAAGACAAAAAUGUACUAAAAACAGUCACUUUUGCCUCUUUGAGCUGUAAUUUGACCCCUUUAACAUGCUUCAAAACUCACCAUAUUUGACACACACAUCAGGACCUGCGAAAAUUGCUAUCUAAUAAAAAAAAACCUAGCCCCAAAACUUAAAAUUGCGCUCUAGCGCCCCCUAGGAAAAGACACAGACAAAACUGCCUGUAACUCCCACUAGGAAGGUCGGAGAGACAUGAAACAAAAACCUCUAUGUAGGUCUGACUUAGACCUAGGUUUCAUAAUUUUACAUCCUCGGGCAAAAAUCAAUGGCAAUUCCCCCUUCAAGACAAAAAUUUACUAAAAACAGUCACUUUUGCCUUUUUGAGCUGUAAUUUGACCCCCUUAACAUGCUUCAAAACUCACCAUAUUUGACACACACAUCAGGACCUGCUAAAAUUGCUAAUCUAAUAAAAAAAACCUAGCCCCAAAACUCAAAAUUGCGCUCUAGCGCCCCCUAGGAAAAGACACAGACAAAACUGCCUGUAACUCCCACUAGGAAGGUCGGAGAGACAUGAAACUAAAACCUCUAUGUAGGUCUGACUUAGACCUAGAUUUCAUAAUUUUACAUCCUCGGGCAAAAAUCAACAGGAAGUUGGCAAUUCCCCCUUCAAGACAAAAAUGUACUAAAAACAGUCACUUUUGCCUCUUUGAGCUGUAAUUUGACCCCCUUAACAUGCUUCAAAACUCACCAUAUUUGACACACACAUCAGGACCUGCGAAAAUUGCUAUCUAAUAAAAAAACCUAGCCCCAAAACUUAAAAUUGCGCUCUAGCGCCCCCUAGGAAAAGACACAGACAAAACUGCCUGUAACUCCCACUAGGAAGGUCGGAGAGACAUGAAACUAAAACCUCUAUGUAGGUCUGACUUAGACCUAGAUUUCAUAAUUUUACAUCCUCGGGCAAAAAUCAACAGGAAGUUGGCAAUUCCCCCUUCAAGACAAAAAUGUACUAAAAACAGUCACUUUUGCCUCUUUGAGCUGUAAUUUGACCCACUUAACAUGCUUCAAAACUCACCAUAUUUGACACACACAUCAGGACCUGCGAAAAUUGCGAUCUAAUAAAAAAAACCUAGCCCCAAAACUCAGAAUUGCGCUCUAGCGCCCCCUAGGAAAAGACACAGACAAAACUGCCUGUAACUCCCACUAGGAAGGUCGGAGAGACAUGAAACAAAAACCUCUAUGUAGGUCUGACUUAGACCUAGAUUUCAUAAUUUUACAUCCUCGGGCAAAAAUCAACAGGAAGUUGGCAAUUCCCCCUUCAAGACAAAAAUGUACUAAAAACAGUCACUUUUGCCUCUUUGAGCUGUAAUUUGACCCCCUUAACAUGCUUCAAAACUCACCAUAUUUGACACACACAUCAGGACCUGCGAAAAUUGCUAUCUAAUAAAAAAAACUAGCCCCAAAACUCAAAAUUGCGCUCUAGCGCCCCCUAGGAAAAGACACAGACAAAACUGCCUGUAACUCCCACUAGGAAGGUCAGAGAGACAUGAAACUAAAACCUCUAUGUAGGUGUGACUUAGACCUAGAUUUCAUAAUUUUACAUCCUCGGGCAAAAAUCAACAGGAAGUUGGCAAUUCCCCCUUCAAGACAAAAAUGUACUAAAAACAGUCACUUUUGCCUCUUUGAGCUGUAAUUUGACCCCCUUAACAUGCUUCAAAACUCACCAAACUGAACACACACAUCAGGACUGGCAAAAAUUGCGAUCUAAUAAAAAAACCUAACUCCAAAUCUCAAAAUUGCGCUCUAGUUUUACUUGUUUUGGAAAGUCUUGACAAGCCAAAUUUUCUUGUUCUAUUGGCAGAUAAUUUUGCUUAGUUCAAAUAAAAUACCCCUCAUUUUUGUAUUUUUUUUUUUCUUGUUUUUGAACACUGACUUUUUGCAAUGUGCUUUGCAAAAUGAUUAACCUCGCCUCUUCCUCUCACGUGAGAUCCACAAGUUAUGGGGCCAUAUGAAUUCCUUCCCUGCUGUAGUUUUUUUUUUUUUUUUUUUUUAAAGCAUUGCCGCAUUCCCUCCUCUUAAAGUCUUUUGCAGCUAUCUAGAAAAGGGAUUUGGAAACAUCAAAAAGCUACUAGCGUCCAAUCAGAGCGUCUGAUGAGCAUGUUUGUUUAAAAUGUGUGACAUUUGAAGAAAAAAAAAAAGAUUGUUUGCGAAUAUUUGCUGGGCUGUUUGGCAAACUUGUGUUUUAUGUUUUUAUAAUGUAGUUUUGUACAUUGGACAGGCCCUGCAGUCCUCAAAUAGGAGUCUUUAAUUUCCUAAUUCCUUAUUUUUUUUCUGUUUUGUAAAUGAGCCUAGGCAUGGAGAAGACGAAAGUUCUUUUUGGAGCGGUGUGUCGUUCAAGCCCCUCAUGUCCUUUCCCUCCACAAAGAAUGGAAAAAAGAAAAAAAAGGGAAGAUGUAUGUGUUGUAUGUGAAAACAUUCCGUGGGGGGGG